GACUACAGGGGUAUCUAAUCCUGUUCGAUCCCCACGCUUUCGUGCCUCAGUGUCAGUUUCGCCUUCGUGAGCUGUCUUCACUAUCGGUGUUCUGUGCCAUAUCUAAGCAUUUCACCGCUACACGGCACAUUCCGCCCACGUCAAGCGUACUCAAGAGCGACAGUAUCAAUGGCAAUUUUACGGUUAAGCCGCAAGAUUUCACCACUGACUUAUCGCCCCACCUACGCACCCUUUAAACCCAAUGAAUCCGGAUAACGCUUGCACCCUUCGUAUUACCGCGGCUGCUGGCACGAAGUUAGCCGGUGCUUAUUCCUCCGGUACCGUCAACCCAGGACACGUCCUGGGGUUUCUUCCCGGUUAAAAGCAGUUUACAACGCGUAGCGCCUUCUUCCUGCACGCGGCAUGGCUGCGUCAGAGUUGCCUCCAUUGCGCAAUAUUCCUCACUGCAGCCCCCCGUAGG
rnacentral:rRNA from 1 species